AGGAGUUUGAUCCUGGGCUCAGAACGAACGCUGGCGGCGUGCCUAACACAUGCAAGUCGAACGAGAAAGCGGGCUUCGGCCCGUGAGUACAGUGGCAGACGGGUGAGUAACACGUGGGUAACCUGCCCGGAGGUGGGGGAUAACCCUUCGAAAGGAGGGCUAAUACCGCAUGACAUCUCGAGGACCUCGGUUCUCGAGCUCAAAGCUUGCCUCUACUCGUAAGCAAGCGCCACCGGAGGGACCCGCGUCCCAUUAGCUUGUUGGUGAGGUAACGGCUCACCAAGGCGACGAUGGGUAGCCGGCCUGAGAGGGUGAUCGGCCACACUGGAACUGAGACACGGUCCAGACUCCUACGGGAGGCAGCAGUGAGGAAUUUUGCGCAAUGGGCGAAAGCCUGACGCAGCGACGCCGCGUGGAGGACGAAGGCCUUCGGGUCGUAAACUCCUGUCGAGCGGGACGAAUCCCGGACGGAUGAAUAAGCCGUCCGGUUGACGGUACCGCUGGAGGAAGCCCCGGCUAACUCCGUGCCAGCAGCCGCGGUAAUACGGAGGGGGCCAGCGUUGUUCGGAAUUAUUGGGCGUAAAGGGCGCGUUAGGCCGCUAUGCAAGUCGGAGGUGAAAUUCCCUCGGGCUCAACGAAGGAACUGCCCCCGAAACCUGCCAUGGCUUGAGUCCCGGGAUAGGGUA
rnacentral:rRNA from 1 species